rnacentral:rRNA from 1 species
AGAGUUUGAUCAUGGCUCAGGACAAACGCUGGCGGCAUGCCUAACACAUGCAAGUCGAACGGACGGAGGCAAGGAACUCUUCGGAGGGAAUUGCCCGAGUUAGUGGCGGAUGGGUGAGUAACGCGUGGGGAACCUACCUCGUAGAGGGGAAUAAUAGUUGGAAACGACUACUAAUACCGCAUAAUGUACACUUUUCGCAUGAAGAGUGUAAGGAAGAUGGCCUCUGAACAUGCUAUCGCUAUGAGAUGGACCCGCGUCUGAUUAGCUAGUUGGUAAGGUAACGGCUUACCAAGGCAAUGAUCAGUAGCCGGCCUGAGAGGGUGAACGGCCACAUUGGGACUGAGACACGGCCCAAACUCCUACGGGAGGCAGCAGUGGGGAAUCUUCCGCAAUGGGCGAAAGCCUGACGGAGCAAUGCCGCGUGAGUGAAGAAGGCCUUCGGGUUGUAAAGCUCUAUCCUUGUCCAAGAGAGCAGAGUAUAGUAACUGAUAGUCUGAGGACGGUAGACAAGAAGGAAGCCCCGGCUAACUAUGUGCCAGCAGCCGCGGUAAAACAUAGGGGGCAAGCGUUGUCCGGAAUCACUGGGCGUAAAGGGCGCGUAGGCGGUCUGUUAAGUCGGAUGUGAAAUGUAAGGGCUCAACCCUUAACGUGCAUCUGAUACUGGCAGACUUGAGUGCGGAAGAGGCAAGUGGAAUUCCUAGUGUAGCGGUGAAAUGCGUAGAUAUUAGGAGGAACACCAGUGGCGAAGGCGACUUGUUGGGCCGUAACUGACGCUGAGGCGCGAAAGCGUGGGGAGCAAACAGGAUUAGAUACCCUGGUAGUCCACGCCGUAAACGAUGAGUACUAGGUGUUGGGGGUUUCGAUACCUUCGGUGCCGCAGUU